GUGGGGAAUCUUAGACAAUGGGGGAAACCCUGAUCUAGCCAUGCCGCGUGAUCGAUGAAGGCCUUAGGGUUGUAAAGAUCUUUCAGGUGGGAAGAUAAUGACUGUACCACCAGAAGAAGCCCCGGCUAACUCCGUGCCAGCAGCCGCGGUAAUCCGGAGGGGGCUAGCGUUGUUCGGAAUUACUGGGCGUAAAGCGCACGUAGGCGGAUUGGAAAGUUGGGGGUGAAAUCCCGGGGCUCAACCCCGGAACUGCCUUCAAAACUCCCAGUCUUGAGUUCGAGAGAGGUGAGUGGAAUUCCGAGUGUAGAGGUGAAAUUCGUAGAUAUUCGGAGGAACACCAGUGGCGAAGGCGGCUCACUGGCUCGAUACUGACGCUGAGGUGCGAAAGCGUGGGGAGCAAACAGGAUUAGAAACCCGGGUAGUCC
rnacentral:rRNA from 1 species